UGUAAACAAAUAAAAUAUGAUUAUACAAAUUAACACACAAAAGCAUCAACCGUCAAUGGCCUCGAAUCGACCUGUAGUCUUAUUGCAAUUAGUGCGAUCAAAAACUACAAAGCAGCAGCAUUUUUCAACAAAUGGUUUAGGUGGUCAUUGAAUUAAGUUGACUGUCAAUUAUUGUUAAAAUAGCUGUUGAAAGCAAUUGUUGAAAAUGUUUUGUUAAACGGCUUUUGAUCAGUUGAUCAUUGAAUCACCAUUUUUCAAGUCAAAAAUUGACAUUGAUUUAUGGAUCCAAGCUUUUGUAAUUUGGUUAUUACGCUGUCAAUCAGGCUUGUAGGUUGAUAAGAGAGGUUAAUUUGUAUUUUAAUUUCAUGCAAUCUUAAGCACAUAAAUAACACAAUUGUUUUACCUUUGAGCUACAUUCACAGAGUUGACUGUUAAAGCAAAAUGGAUAUGAUAUUCAAUGGUAUACAGAUUGACUGCUGGCAAAGUAAUCUGUGACAGCAAAAAUGGUGUUAUAACACUUGACGGUCACAAUUAAUUGGGUAUCUUGUCUUAAAAUUCAACAAUACAAUCAAAAAUUGGAUCACAAUUGAUAGAGACUGGAUAGUCGAUCAGCAACUCAACUUGAAAAGUGAAAUGACAAGACUGGUAAAGGUUUUUGUUGAUCCUAAUUCAUUUUUCUCAUCGCAUCAACCUUUAAAUAACAUAAUAGAGUUUACCUGAAUAAAACAAUUAACCCAACAAACAUGCAAAUCUGGUUACUCAACUAAAGUUAUAAACAUGCAACCGGAAUCUCUUGGUUUAAUCAUUUCCGAAGAAAGCUCUUUCUGUCUACCAUUUUGAUUGAAAGCCUUGAAAUUAAAUUGGUACAGAGGAUAAAUUGAUCAAAUCUAAAUAAUGUCUUAAGAUGAUGAAAAAUAAAUGCAAAUAAAUGAACCGAGAUAUAUUUUAUAGAUUAAAUAACAGAUCACAUAAAUUGCUACCAAUGUUGGGUAAACUGUAAGAUAUAAAUGUUACUUUAAGAAACCAUAAGAAUCAUUAGAUUGACCAGCAAAUAAUUUCUGUUUAAUAUUCUUCAAUUCAAAUAUAACUCUGCUUUUAUAUACUAUUUUAGUUUUAUUUAUGCCUAUUAAACACUGAUUGAUCACAAUUUAAUUUAAACUCCAAAUUUUGACGCUUAAAAAUCAUAAUUACUUUUCUUGGUAACCGACGACCCAUUUUUAAAUUGACCGCUAGAGUAAAAUCCCAGAUGUAAAUGUUUUAGCAAGUUAGUUGUUUUGGUACCAACCUGUUUUGAUGUACAAGAUCCAUCUCAAUGGAAGUUGCUAAUUAUUUGUUUGUUUGUUUCUUGAAGCAAGAAAACAUCAGAUGACAUUAAUGUUAGAGUGUCGAAGGAUUGGUUCUGAAGGAAACCUGCACGAUGGCCAAUGAAAGCUCCAAUUAGACAACCAUUCAAGGGAUUCUGUGAUUUAUUGUGAUAAUUUAAUAUAUAAUUAUGAUCAAACUUCAAGGCAAGUCAAAGGAUAGACUGACAUAGAUAAAAGACGCAACAGAAAAAAAUCUUGAAGCUAUAAGAUGAGCAAAGAGCUAAGAAUAAAGAUGACAAGAUAUUUUUGGCAAGUCAAUUGCGAUUUGCAUUUCCCAUUCUCAACGCAGCAAUCUGGAUCUUAUUUUUUCUGAAGACUAUUUGUUAGAUUCAAAAAUAUCUGGUGAUCACAUUAAAAUGGAACAUGAAAUAUAUCGUUACAAUA